rnacentral:rRNA from 1 species
CGGUGUAGCGGUGAAAUGCGUAGAUAUCGGGAAGAACACCAGUGGCGAAGGCGCUCUGCUGGGCCAUCACUGACGCUCAUGGACGAAAGCCAGGGGAGCGAAAGGGAUUAGAUACCCCUGUAGUCCUGGCCGUAAACGAUGAACACUAGGUGUCGGGGGAAUCGACCCCCUCGGUGUCGUAGCCAACGCGUUAAGUGUUCCGCCUGGGGAGUACGCACGCAAGUGUGAAACUCAAAGGAAUUGACGGGGGCCCGCACAAGCGGUGGAGUAUGUGGUUUAAUUCGAUGCAACGCGAAGAACCUUACCAGGGUUUGACAUCCUGCGAAUCUCUUGGAAACAGGAGAGUGCCUUCGGGAACGCGGUGACAGGUGGUGCAUGGCUGUCGUCAGCUCGUGUCGUGAGAUGUUGGGUUAAGUCCCGCAACGAGCGCAACCCACGUCUUUAGUUGCCAGCAUUUAGUUGGGCACUCUAGAGAGACUGCCGGUGAUAAACCGGAGGAAGGUGUGGAUGACGUCAAGUCAUCAUGCCCCUUACAUCCUGGGCUACACACGUACUACAAUGCUACGGACAAAGGGCUGCAAGUUCGCGAGGACAAGCAAAUCCCAUAAACCGUGGCUCAGUUCAGAUCGUAGGCUGCAACUCGCCUACGUGAAGGCGGAAUCGCUAGUAAUCGCAGGUCAGCAUACUGCGGUGAAUACGUUCCCGGGCCUUGUACACACCGCCCGUCACACCAUGGAAGUUGGCCACGCCCGAAGCCGUUACUCCAACCCUUGUGGAGGAGGACGUCGAAGGUGGGGCUGAUGACUGGGGUGAAGUCGUAACAAGGUAACCGUA